rnacentral:rRNA from 1 species
GACGAACGCUGGCGGCGUGCCUAACACAUGCAAGUCGAGCGGGGAGAGAUUUUCGGAUUUCUCUUUAGCGGCGGACGGGUGAGUAACACGUGGGUAACCUGCCUCAAAGAGGGGGAUAGCCUCCCGAAAGGAAGAUUAAUACCGCAUAAUAUCAGGAAGCUGCAUGGCAUUCUGAUUAAAGGAGCAAUCCGCUUUGAGAUGGACCCGCGGCGCAUUAGCUAGUUGGUGAGGUAACGGCCCACCAAGGCGACGAUGCGUAGCCGACCUGAGAGGGUGAUCGGACACAUUGGAACUGAGACACGGUCCAGACUCCUACGGGAGGCAGCAGUGGGGAAUAUUGCACAAUGGGGGAAACCCUGAUGCAGCAACGCCGCGUGAGUGAUGAAGGCCUUCGGGUCGUAAAGCUCUUUGAUCAGGGACGAUAAUGACGGUACCUGAAAAACAAGCCACGGCUAACUACGUGCCAGCCGCCGCGGUAACAC